rnacentral:rRNA from 1 species
UGGGGGAUAUUGCACAAUGGGGGAAACCCUGAUGCAGCGACGCCGCGUGUAGGAAGACGGUCCUCUGGAUUGUAAACUACUGUCUUCGGGGACGAUAAUGACGGUACCCGAGGAGGAAGCUCCGGCUAACUACGUGCCAGCAGCCGCGGUAAUACGUAGGGAGCGAGCGUUGUCCGGAAUUACUGGGUGUAAAGGGAGCGUAGGCGGAUUAUUAAGUCAGUUGUGAAAGUUUGCGGCUCAACCGUAAAAUUGCAGUUGAUACUGGUAAGCUAGAGUAUAGAUGAGGUAGGCGGAAUUCGUGGUGUAGCGGUGAAAUGCUUAGAUAUCGAGAGGAACACUCGUGGCGAAGGCGGGUUCCUGGACAUUAACUGACGCUGAGGUACGAAGGCCAGGGUAGCGAAAG